AGCAAGUUUGGAAUUGUAGCUCGGGCUUUGAAGACGGUAUGAUGGAGCGGCAAGUUCGUGUGGCCUGUACGAAAACAGUGAGGCUUGGAUCGGUGUUCAAAUUAGCUUCGAAAAGGUUUGGAUGAAAAUCUUAUGGCAGCUAGGUUAUAUUCAAAUGGUGCUGGUUGUUUGAAGAUGGUAUUUUCUCGCGUUAGUAGCGCUCUGUUAUGAUUGGUACUCGAUGAGAGCCUGAAGACACAAUUAUUGGGUUGUUGCGGUUCUGCUUGGGGCAGUUGAUGUACCAGGUGCAGUGAGCCAAGUUUUGGUUUAUUACUUUGAAGACAUAUGGAGAAGGUUGGAAGGGAUAUGGCUUGGAGCUUAAGCAAAGACAUGUACUAAUCAAAGGAGGCCAACACAAAAUAGAUGGGAGAACUAGGAAUAAUAGGCUAAGAAGAAAUUUUGUAUAGUUGAGAUAUCGAAACUUGUAAAUGAACUUCUUAUUUGUGUUUGAAUUUGGACUUUUGGUAUGGCCAUGAACUUGAAUAAUGCUAGUUUUUUUUUGUAAAUUUUGUUGUAAUGUAUUUGCAAUGAGAGGUAAUGGAUAUGUAAUGACUUUUGAUGAUUGAAUUUGAGUAAUAUGAUUUUUUAUAUGGA